AUUGAACGCUGGCGGCAGGCCUAACACAUGCAAGUCGAACGAGUGGCGGACGGGUGAGUAAUGCCUGGGAAACUGCCUGAUGGAGGGGGAUAACUACUGGAAACGGACGCUAAUACCGCAUACCAUCGGAUGUGCCGAGGUCGGAUUAGCUAGUGGGGGGGGUAAAGGCUCACCUAGGCGACGAUCCCUAGCUGGUCUGAGAGGAUGACCAGCCACACUGGAACUGAGACACGGUCCAGACUCCUACGGGAGGCAGCAGUGGGGAAUAUUGCACAAUGGGCGCAAGCCUGAUCCAGCCAUUCCGCGUGUAUGAAGAAGGCCUUCGGGUUGUAAAGUCCUUUCAGCGGGGAAGCGUUACCCAAAGAAUAAGCACCGGCUAACUCCGUGCCAGCAGCCGCGGUAAUAC
rnacentral:rRNA from 1 species